rnacentral:rRNA from 1 species
GACGAACGCUGGCGGCGCGCCUAACACAUGCAAGUCGAACGAGAGAGAGGAAGCUUGCUUCCUCGAUCGAGUGGCGAACGGGUGAGUAACGCGUGAGGAACCUGCCUCAAAGAGGGGGACAACAGUUGGAAACGACUGCUAAUACCGCAUAAGCCCACGGCUCGGCAUCGAGCAGAGGGAAAAGGAGCAAUCCGCUUUGAGAUGGCCUCGCGUCCGAUUAGCUAGUUGGUGAGGUAAUGGCCCACCAAGGCAACGAUCGGUAGCCGGACUGAGAGGUUGAACGGCCACAUUGGGACUGAGACACGGCCCAGACUCCUACGGGAGGCAGCAGUGGGGAAUAUUGCACAAUGGGGGAAACCCUGAUGCAGCGACGCCGCGUGGAGGAAGAAGGUCUUCGGAUUGUAAACUCCUGU